GAGGGAAAGUUGAAAAGAACUUAGAGGUGAGAGUUCAAUAGGGCGUGAAACCGCUUAGAAGUAAACGGUUGGUGCUGACAUUAUUUCUGUCGGAUUCAGCUGACCUGAUGGAAGUUCUCUUGUGCGCCGAUCGCAAGACGGAGGUGCGAGUUGUAUCAUCCUCGGGUUAGUGCAUUUCCGGCAGAAUGCAUCAUGACCGACAGCAGCGCUGGCAAACGGCCGGUGGAGAGCCGACUGUAGUCUUCGGAUUUGCAGUGCCCUAUCCACCGUGUCCUGUUACCGAGUUGCCGCUGUCGGAUACUUGAACGCGCUCGCUAUGCUCAGCCUUUGUUGUCAUUUGGUCGAUUGAAUCUCUGUACCCUGCUUGCAAGGUGCAGUAAUCCUCGGCUUUGUGGCUUCAAUUGUUUUGAGUUGCGCCUAAGGUCUAUGAUGUCCGCGUCAGUCUCCCAACCGACCCGUCUUGAAACACGGACCAAGGAGUCUAACAUGUGCGCAAGUCAUGGGGUGUUAAACCCAAAGGCGUAAUGAAAGUAAAGGCCGCAAGGCCGAGGUGUGAUGUUUGGCUUGACCAGACCGCAACACCGUCCCAUCGCAUCGGCUUGUCCGGGCGGUGGCGAAAGAGCGUACAUGUUGGGACCCGAAAGAUGGUGAACUAUGCCUGAGCAGGAUGAAGCCAGAGGAAACUCUGGUGGAGGUCCGUAGCGGUUCUGACGUGCAAAUCGAUCGUCAGACUUGGGUAUAGGGGCGAAAGACUAAUCGAACCAUCUAGUAGCU
rnacentral:rRNA from 1 species